rnacentral:misc_RNA from 1 species
ACGUGAUGGCCAAACCCCAUUUUUACACAACUGUUUCUAUUUGUCAUAUGAUUCAGUGAUAUCAGGAUUGACUGAUUUUUGUAGCGUUUAUCAUUUCCUGUAAGGGGCUUUGGUAAAAUUGUCACUGAUUUUCUGUUGUUUAUCACUAGCUUGAAGAAAUGACUGUUUAAAAUGAAGCUUCACGUCUUUAAUCUGAGAAAUUGGCAUCUCAGAAGUUGUACAGUAACAAUUUAAAUAAAAGUAUUUUUAGUACUUUG